GCUAACGAUAGGACUUUGCAUGCUUUCUAAACUUACAGAGAUACAGAGAAGAUGAGCAUGGCCUCUGUGUCAGGACAAUAUGCAAAUUUGUGAAUCAUUCCAUAUUUUU
ensembl:snRNA U6 U6 spliceosomal RNA